CAGUCGCCGCGGUAAUACGUAGGGUGCGAGCGUUAAUCGGAAUUACUGGGCGUAAAGCGUGCGCAGGCGGUUCGGAAAGAGAGAUGUGAAAUCCCAGGGCUUAACCUUGGAACUGCAUUUUUAACUACCGGACUAGAGUGUGUCAGAGGGAGGUGGAAUUCCGCGUGUAGCAGUGAAAUGCGUAGAGAUGCGGAGGAACACCGAUGGCGAAGGCAGCCUCCUGGGAUAACACUGACGCUCAUGCACGAAAGCGUGGGGAGCAAACAGGAUUAGAGACCCCUGUAGUCCCUGUCUCUUAUAC
rnacentral:rRNA from 1 species